rnacentral:rRNA from 1 species
GUGGGGAAUAUUGCGCAAUGGGCGAAUGCCUGACGCAGCGACGCCGCGUGUGGGAUGACGGUCUUCGGAUUGUAAACCACUGUCGGGAGGGACGAAGGCGCGGGGUUAACUGCCGCCGCGAUUGACGGUACCUCCAAAGGAAGCACCGGCUAACUCUGUGCCAGCAGCCGCGGUAAUACAGAGGGUGCGAGCGUUGUCCGGAAUCACUGGGCGUAAAGGGCGUGUAGGUGGCUUGAUAAGCCGCGUGUGAAAGCCCGGGGCUCAACCCCGGAACGGCACGCGGGACUGUCAGGCUCGAGCAUGGUAGAGGCGAGUGGAAUUCCUGGUGUAGCGGUGGAAUGCGUAGAGAUCAGGAAGAACACCGGUGGCGAAGGCGGCUCGCUGGGCCAUUGCUGACACUGAGGCGCGAAAGCGUGGGGAGCAAACAGGAUUAGAUACCCGAGUAGUCC